rnacentral:rRNA from 1 species
AUAGCGUAUAUUAAAGUUGUUGCAGUUAAAAAGCUCGUAGUUGGAUCUCGGGUACUAGCAUGUGGUACGCUUAAUUGCUGUUACUGCUUGUCUAGUCCUAAUCAAUCGGUUGGCCGUUUAUGCCCUUUAUUGGGUGUUUUCGGUAGCCGGUACGUUUACUUUGAGAAAAUUAGAGUGCUUAAAGCAGGCUUUACGCCUGAAUAAUGUUGCAUGGAAUAAUAGAAUAGGACCUCGGUUCUAUUUUGUUGGUUUUGUAGAGCAUUGAGGUAAUGAUUAAUAGGGACAGACGGGGGCAUUCGUAUUGCGGUGUUAGAGGUGAAAUUCUUGGAUCGCCGCAAGACGAACAACUG